UGCGUAGGCGGCUUUGCAAGUCAGAUGUGAAAUCUAUGGGCUCAACCCAUAGCCUGCAUUUGAAACUGCAGAGCUUGAGUGAAGUAGAGGCAGGCGGAAUUCCCCGUGUAGCGGUGAAAUGCGUAGAGAUGGGGAGGAACACCAGUGGCGAAGGCGGCCUGCUGGGCUUUAACUGACGCUGAGAUGCGAAAGCGUGGGAGCAAACA
rnacentral:rRNA from 1 species